rnacentral:rRNA from 1 species
GCUUUCGGGCUGAGUAGAGCGGCGGACGGGUGAGUAACGCGUAGGAAUCUACCUGGUAGUGGGGGACAACUUGGGGAAACUCAAGCUAAUACCGCAUACGCCCUAAGGGGGAAAGCGGGGGACCUUCGGGCCUCGCGCUAUCGGAUGAGCCUGCGUAGGAUUAGCUAGUUGGUGGGGUAAAGGCCCACCAAGGCGACGAUCCUUAGCUGGUCUGAGAGGAUGAUCAGCCACACUGGAACUGAGACACGGUCCAGACUCCUACGGGAGGCAGCAGUGGGGAAUAUUGCGCAAUGGGCGAAAGCCUGACGCAGCCAUGCCGCGUGUGUGAAGAAGGCCUUAGGGUUGUAAAGCACUUUCAAUUGGGAAGAAAAGUUUGUCGUUAAUAGCGCCAAGCUCUGACAUUACCUUUAGAAGAAGCACCGGCUAACUCCGUGCCAGCAGCCGCGGUAAUACGGAGGGUGCGAGCGUUAAUCGGAAUUACUGGGCGUAAAGCGCGCGUAGGCGGUUUGUUAAGUCAGCUGUGAAAGCCCCGGGCU